rnacentral:rRNA from 1 species
GACGAACCGUGGCGAACGUUGUUCGGAAUCACUGGGCUUAAAGGGCGCGUAGGCGGACUUGCAAGUCAGGGGUGAAAGCCCCCGGCCCCAACCGGGGAAGUGCCUCUGAUACUGUGGGUCUCGAGCGGGAUAGGGGCAGCUGGAACUCCGGUGGAGCGGUGAAAUGCGUAGAUAUCAGGAGGAAUACCGAUGGCGAAGGCAGGUCUCUGGGCCUUACCUGACGCUGAGGAGCGAAAGGCGUGGGGAGCGAACAGG